rnacentral:lncRNA from 1 species
CGAUUUGGUCACUUCGUAUUCAGACUUCAGAGUAAAUUUCUACUGAUAGAAGAAGAUAAGUAGAAAUCCACUUGUCGAUUUUCUAUUGGGAAAUAUCAUUUAAAGGCCACGAUUGCAUAUCUGAUGGGAUAAGUUGUUUAGCGUUUUCACAACCCCUAAAUCCUCAUCUUUUCGAUUGCACAUCUGAAGGGAAUAAAGAAAAUGGCAGCUUUACAGCAGUCGACGGUGGCGGCGACGGCUCUUCGGGUCACAAGUCCUCAGUCAACAACCACACACUCAUCCUCGAUCGUCCGAUCCCUCUCGCUCCGUUCCACAUCUUCCAUCUCCGCACCAUUCCCAACUCUCCAUCUCCUCCGGCGCCCGUCCGCCCACCUCCGCCGAAGCUCUGCGGGUGGAGUGGGAAGAGGAGUCACAAUGAUGAACACCACCUCCGGAAGCUACGCCUCAGCUCUACUUGAAGUGGCGAAAUCGAAUGGGAUGAUGGAAGCGACAUCCGCCGACAUGGAGAAGAUCUCGAAGAUUUUCUCAGACGAAUCCUUAGUGAAUUAC